AUGGCCAGGGCCGCCGACUACUACUCUCUCCUCCAGAGCUGCAUGGGCUGCUUCCGGCAGGGCAGGUCCAUCCACCACAGGCUCCUCGCGUCCGCCUCUCCCCCGGACCUGCACCUCAGCACCAAGCUCGUCCUCUUCUACGCCAAGCACGGUGACGUGGCCGCCGCCCUCAGGGUGUUCGACGGAAUGCCGCACCGGAGCGUCGUGUCCUGGACGGCCAUGGUCUCGGGCUACUCCAGGAACGGCCGCCCCCGGGAGGCGCUGGAGCUGUUCGCCCUCAUGCACACGUCCGGCGAUGCCAGGCCGAACCAGUUCACGUAUGGCAGCGUGGCCUGUGCGUGCGCGGUGGCUGGGUGCGUCAGGAGCGGGGAGCAGGUGCAUGCAUGCACGGCCAAAGGGAGGUUUGCUGGGGACAUGUUCGUGCAGAGCGCUCUCAUGGACAUGUACCUGAGGUGCGGGUCGGUGGAGGAUGCGAGGCGGAUGUUUGCGGCGAUGGAGAGGAAGGAUGUGGUUUCGUGGAAUGCCUUGCUCAGGGGUUUUGUGGAGCGUGGGCAUUGCAGUGACGCGCUUGGGUUGUUAUCCUCAAUGCUGAGAGAAGAAAUGCUGCCUGACCAUUUCACGUUUGGAAGUGCUCUAAAAGCUUGUGGAGUAGUCAGUGUGCUCACUAACACGGAGCUGAUUCACACUUGCAUAAUAAAGUUGGGCUACUGGGGUGAAAAGGUUGUUAUUGGAUCACUUAUUGAUGCUUAUGCAAAAUGUCGGAGCAUGAAAAGUGCACGAGUGAUAUAUGACUCCAUAUGUGAACCAGACCUUGUGUCGUCUACUGCGCUGAUCAGUGGGUACUCCAUGGAUAAAAACCAUACUGAAGAUGCAAUGGAGCUCUUCUGCAAGAUUUAUCGUAGGGGUUUGAGGAUUGAUGGUGUUCUGUUAAGCUCCUUGCUUGGCAUUUGUGCUAAUGUGUCAUGUCUCAGAUUUGGGACACAAAUUCAUGCUUACAUGUGCAAAAAGCAGCCAAUGGGAGACGUGGCAUUGGACAACGCUCUAGUUGAUAUGUAUGCAAAGGCAGGCGAAUUUUCAGAUGCCAGGCGUGCUUUUGAUGAAAUGCCCUGCCGAAAUGUGGUCUCAUGGACUUCACUCAUUACUGCCUGUGGGAAAAAUGGUUUUGGGGGAGAUGCUGUGAGCCUUUUUGAGAGGAUGGUGGAGGAUGGUGUGAAGCCAAACGAUGUGACAUUCCUUUCUCUUCUGUCUGCUUGUGGUCAUUCUGGUCUGAUGAGCAAAGGGAUGGAGUAUUUCACUUCCAUGAUGGGCAAGUACGGUAUUGAUCCGAGAGCUGAGCAUUUCAGUUCUGCUAUCGACCUUCUUGGCCGUGGGGGUCAGUUAGAGGAUGCGUGGAAGCUAGUGGAGAAUGUGGAUACUGAACCCAACUCCUCAAUAUUGGGCGCUAUGCUUGGAGCUUGUAAAACGCAUGGAAACAUGCCUCUUGGAGAAACUGCAGCCAAGAAUCUUAUAAGUAAAGGUGCUGAGAGUUCUGUACACUAUACCAUGCUUGCAAACAUGUACGCAGAAUCUAAUUUAUGGGAGGAUGCUCAAAGUGCAAGGAAAUUAAUGGCUGAAACAUCUGGUGGCAAGGAAGCUGGUUGCAGUGUUCUCUGA
rnacentral:rRNA from 1 species